UAGUCGUACGAGUUUAUACUCGUGGCAUAUAGCUCAGUAACACGUGGCCAAACUACCCUAUGGACAGAGAUACUCUCGGGAAACUGAGGCUAAUCUCUGAUACAGCUUCCACGCUGGAAUUACAGGAAGCUGGAAAUGCUCCGGCGCCAUAGGAUGUGGCUGCGGCCGAUUAGGUAGACGGUGGGGUAACGGCCCACCGUGCCAGUAAUCGGUACGGGUGAUGAGAGUCAGAGCCCGGAGACGGUAUCUGAGACAAGAUACCGGGCCCUACGGGGCGCAGCAGGCGCGAAACCUUUACACUGCACGACAGUGCGAUAGGGGGACUCCGAGUGCGAGGGCAUAUAGUCCUCGCUUUUCUGUACCGUAAGGUGGCACAGGAACAAGUGCUGGGCAAGACCGGUGCCAGCCGCCGCGGUAAUACCGGCAGCACAAGUGAUGGCCGAUAUUAUUGGGCCUAAAGCGUUCGUAGCUGGCCAGGCAAGUUCGUUGGGAAAUCCACGCGCUCAACGCGUGGGCGUCCAGCGAAAACUGUUUGGCUUGGGGCCGGAAGACUCGAGGGGUACGUCCGGGGUAGGAGUGAAAUCCCGUAAUCCUGGACGGACCACCGGUGGCGAAAGCGCCUCGAGAGGACGGACCCGACAGUGAGGGA
rnacentral:rRNA from 1 species